rnacentral:rRNA from 1 species
UUGGGCACUCUAAGUUGACUGCCGGUGACAAACCGGAGGAAGGUGGGGAUGACGUCAAAUCAUCAUGCCCCUUAUGAUUUGGGCUACACACGUGCUACAAUGGACAAUACAAAGGGCAGCGAAACCGCGAGGUCAAGCAAAUCCCAUAAAGUUGUUCUCAGUUCGGAUUGUAGUCUGCAACUCGACUACAUGAAGCUGGAAUCGCUAGUAAUCGUAGAUCAGCAUGCUACGGUGAAUACGUUCCCGGGUCUUGUACACACCGCCCGUCACACCACGAGAGUUUGUAACACCCGAAGCCGGUGGAGUAACCUUUUAGGAGCUAGCCGUCGAAGG